GUUUAGCGGUAGCAAGAAGCCAAAGAAUGGGGUCUGCAGUUCAACAGGGAAGAAUCUUUCUUCAAAGUCAAUACAGAUGUGAUAACAAAUCCCCAAACUGGCAGAUGAUACAUCCAGAGACCCCUCAGGCCUGCAGAGUCCUCAUACUGGGAAGCAACACCCAAAAGGUCAAGGGCAGAAACUUGAAAGCAACCUGUCAAAAGCUUGUGGAUGAGAAGAAACUCAAGCAUCACCAUCAAUGGUAGCAAACUUUUAUGGGGUGCAGAUUGCAAGUAAGGCUCUGAACCAGACACAGAAUUCAGAGAAGCCCAAGACAGCAGCCUUUCCCUGGAGAAGCUAACAGUCUGAUCGAGUGUCCCACAAGGCACACACACAGUAACACGAGGUCACAUGGAAUCAGUGCCAAACGAGUAUGAGAAGAAAUAGAUCUUCACCCUCUAUGUUUUAGACCAGAUAAAGGCACUGCUGAAAGAACCCAGAGGAAGAGUCACAAGCUGGGAUACAAACAGCUCAUCCAUCAGGUCCUAUAAAAUCCCCACACUGGCUCAGGGUCAAGUCUUAAAGCUCCAGCCUACUGCCAGACUAGCUUCUCAAAGUCAACCCUUACCAGCAUUAAACCCCUUAGCAGCAUCAUAUUUGCUCUGUAAAUAUUAAUUCCAUUGCUCAAAAUUCAGUUUUAAGAAACUGCAUUAAAACAGAAGCAGAAUUCUUUACACACAAAAAUAAACCAGGCAUCUCAAAACACUUAAAAUUAAACAGAU